AUACUAUAUAAAGAGUUCGAAGAUUAUUAUGCAUAUUGCUAGAGUUGUAAGAAAAUCUUGAAAGAAAAAUGGCAACGCUCAUCUGCCAAUCUCUUCUAUUGGGACUUUUAUGCAUUGCAUUGGUUCUGUCUUCAGGAGCAACACCAGAUUUGAACAAUUUAUCACCUUUUCCAUGCAUUGGGCCAUGCCAAAAUUGUGACCAAAUGUGCAGAAAUGAGGGAUAUAAUAAAGGUGGAGGUUGUUACUCUACAGUUUGUUGUUGUCACUUUUAAAGCCAGCAUCUAUGAGAAGCUAAAAUAAAAAAGAAAUUAUGCAAGCAAAAAGUGAGAGUAAAAGUUGUUUCAAUAAAAUAAUAUGUACUUUAGUAAAAAUAUAAUUGAUAUAUUCCACAAUAAAAUUUUAUUUUAGAACAUCA